CUCAAUGAAAAUUCAAUAGCCGCAAUAUAAUUGUGCUAAGGUAGCAUAAUCAUUUGUCUUUUAAUUAAAGACUAGAACAAAAGAUUUAAUAUUUUUAUUUCUUUCUUACAUCUAAUAUUAUAUAACUUAUUUUAAAUAUAAAAAAAUAUUUAUAAUUAAAAAAGACGACAAGACCCUAUUGAACUUAACUAAAGUUAAACUGGGGAAGUUAAUUAAAAAUUAUUUUAAUUUAAAUUAAAAAAAAAUCUAAUAAAAUUAAAAAAUCAAGUUACCAUAGGGAUAACAGCGUAAUAAUUUUCUCAAGAUCUUAUUAAAAAAAUUGUUUACGACCUCGAUGUUGAAUUAAUAAUCUAUUAUAUGCAAUAAUUUAAUAAGAAAGUC
rnacentral:rRNA from 1 species